rnacentral:rRNA from 1 species
GACGAACGCUGGCGGCGUGCUUAACACAUGCAAGUCGAACGGAAAGGCCCUGCUUUUGUGGGGUGCUCGAGUGGCGAACGGGUGAGUAACACGUGAGUAACCUGCCCUUGACUUUGGGAUAACUUCAGGAAACUGGGGCUAAUACCGGAUAGGAGCUCCUGCUGCAUGGUGGGGGUUGGAAAGUUUCGGCGGUUGGGGAUGGACUCGCGGCUUAUCAGCUUGUUGGUGGGGUAGUGGCUUACCAAGGCUUUGCCGGGUAGCCGGCCUGAGAGGGUGACCGGCCACAUUGGGACUGAGAUACGGCCCAGACUCCUACGGGAGGCAGCAGUGGAGAAUAUUGCACAAUGGGCGGAAGCCUGAUGCAGCAACGCAGCGUGCGGGAUGACGGCCUUCGGGUUGUAAACCGCUUUCGCCUGUGACGAAGCGUGAGUGACGGUAAUGGGUAAAGAAGCACCGGCUAACUACGUG